rnacentral:rRNA from 1 species
GACGAACGCUGGCGGCGUGCUUAACACAUGCAAGUCGAACGCUGAAGCUCAGCUUUUGUUGGGUGGAUGAGUGGCGAACGGGUGAGUAACACGUGAGUAACCUGCCUCCUUCUUUGGGAUAACGCCCGGAAACGGGUGCUAAUACUGGAUAUUCACUGGUCUUCGCAUGGGGGUUGGUGGAAAGGGUUUUUCUGGUGGGGGAUGGGCUCGCGGCCUAUCAGCUUGUUGGUGGGGUGAUGGCCUACCAAGGCUUUGACGGGUAGCCGGCCUGAGAGGGUGACCGGUCACAUUGGGACUGAAAUACGGCCCAGACUCCUACGGGAGGCAGCAGUGGGGAAUAUUGCACAAUGGGCGCAAGCCUGAUGCAGCGACGCCGCGUGAGGGAUGGAGGCCUUCGGGUUGUGAACCUCUUUCGCUCAUGGUCAAGCCGCAACAAUGGUUGUGGUGAGGGUAGUGGGUAAAGAAGCGCCGGCUAACUACGUG